AGAACGCAGCGAAAUGCGAUAAGUAAUGUGAAUUGCAGAAUUCAGUGAAUCAUCGAAUCUUUGAACGCACCUUGCACCCUUUGGUAUUCCGAAGGGUAUGCUCGUUUGAGUGUCAUUGUACUCUCACACUCUCUGAUCCUUUGGGAUUGGGAGCGGUGGACUUGGGUGUUGCUGCUGCAGCUCUUACUGCGCGCGGCUCACCUCAAAUGCAUUAGUGCACCUCCUGGUUGGACAUAGUACGGCGUGAUAAGUGUCUUCGCCGGCGCCUCGCAAGAGGGUGGCUGAUUGGGAGCUCUGUGCUUCAUAAACUGUCUUCGGACACUCUCUGACAACUUGACCUCAAAUCGAGUAGGACUACCCGCUGAACUUAAGCAUAUCAAUAAGCGGAGGAAAAGAAACU
rnacentral:rRNA from 1 species